rnacentral:lncRNA from 1 species
UCGGGUCCAGAGAGACCAUCUCCAGAGAGGAAGGUUGGCUUCAGGGCUGCCCAGCUGGUGCAGAUGGGGUCUGGGCCUCUCCAAGAGUGACUCCCACCUGCAGCUCUCUGACCAGACCAGAAACCCGCAGGAAGAGCUGGCGUGAGCCCAGGGCCCCAUGCAGGUCUCCUCCCAUCCUUCCUACCAGGCCAGCAUUUCUACUCUGUGCAGCUACCAGCGAGGAGGGCCUGUGGGCUCAAAGACCCAACAGGAAUUCCUGCAGAAGCCCCAUAGCUUGAAGAGGGACCGUGGGAUGAAUGAGCCUGCAUGCAGCCUGGAAUGCAAAGAUCAGCCCUCCUCAGUGACCCCGGGAGCCCAGGAAGAUCAAGGAUCGAGACUGUCGCCCUGGACCUGCCUGCUGUGUAGCUCUGGGUGCAAGUCAAAGAUCAAGCUGAAGUAAAGUUCACCUGCAUCUCGUUAUUGGGCCAUGAGAAAUAGCAGCCCGACCCUCAGUUUGAUCCAGGAACAAUCUCACCAGGGCUUGCCAUCAGCCCAGGACAAUUGACAAGACACUGCUCUCGGGCACCAGAUACACCAACCGAGCGAUUCUCAGAACCCCUAGCAUGGGCCACAAACCAAACACGCAGAGCCGCAGCGAGGACAGAGGGUGCCGCGUGGCCCUUCCUGACAUUCUUUCAUCUGCACACUGUACCGUCAACUCAUUUUCUGCACGGAAUGAAGAUACAUCACUCUGCUCUGGAAAACUACAUUUAGCAUCUCCUUCUUUUUGUGGGGCAGGGAAGUUUUCAUCGACAAAGCGUUUGUAUUGCAGAUGGCUCACCAUAUGCCACGUUCCUG